GACUAGUCUCAAGUCAUUUAGUGUUGGACACUAAGACAAACACAUAGGUGCUCGAAAGAGUAAUCGAGUACAUUGAACAACGAUCAAAAGAGAGUUCGAACAUACAUGUCAUGUAAGAACUCGAUAGUUGUAAUAUGCAAAGUAGUCAUUUGACCUGAGGAUUCAUAGAUGUCUAAUGGUUAGGUCCUUGAUCUUUGAUCAUGUCAAAGGCAUUCCAUUGAGAGUGUCCACGACAUUGUUGGGGUCAAGCUAUCUAGUCAUGUAGGCAUAUGAAUGCACAACAAGGGAUCUCUA
rnacentral:lncRNA from 1 species